AACGAACGCUGGCGGCAGGCUUAACACAUGCAAGUCGAGCGCCCCGCAAGGGGAGCGGCAGACGGGUGAGUAACGCGUGGGAAUCUACCCAUCCCUACGGAACAACUCCGGGAAACUGGAGCUAAUACCGUAUACGCCCUUCGGGGGAAAGAUUUAUCGGGGAUGGAUGAGCCCGCGUUGGAUUAGCUAGUUGGUGGGGUAAUGGCCUACCAAUGCGACGAUCCAUAGCUGGUCUGAGAGUAUGAUCAGCCACACUGGGACUAAAACACGGCCCAGACUCCUACGGGAGGCAGCAGUGGGGAAUAUUGGACAAUGGGCGAAAGCCUGAUCCAGCCAUGCCGCGUGAGUGAUGAAGGCCCUAGGGUUGUAAAGCUCUUUCACCGGUGAAGAUAAUGACGGUAACCGGAGAAGAAGCCCCGGCUAACUUCGUGCCAGCCGCCGCCGUAAAAC
rnacentral:rRNA from 1 species